GACGAACCGUCCAAACGUUAUUCGGAAUUACUGGGCUUAAAGGGUGCGUAGGCGGCGCGGAAAGUAGGGUGUGAAAUCCCUCGGCUCAACCGAGGAACUGCGCCCUAAACUACCGUGCUCGAGGGAGAUAGAGGUGAGCGGAACUUAGGGUGGAGCGGUGAAAUGCGUUGAUAUCCUAAGGAACACCCGUGGCGAAAGCGGCUCACUGGGUCUCUUCUGACGCUGAGGCACGAAAGCUAGGGGAGCAAACGGG
rnacentral:rRNA from 1 species